rnacentral:sRNA from 1 species
UUUCAGGUUAGUAAACAUGUCCCUAACUAUAAGUGUAAUUUGUGUAAUAGUACAAUAAAUGUGGGAAAAUUUAAGAAUCAGCGUGAUUGUAGUAUUUACGUUAAUAAACGGGAAAUUUGAAAAAGUAACCAUAUUUUAGCCUCUAUAUAGAAUUAUAGCCACCAUUUUAGUUUUAUGAUAAUUUUAACCAAAACUUGAUGUAAAAGUACUAAUAUACCCUUAAUAUUAGGAUUUCUCAUAAAAAAAACAAAACCUCUUUUAAACUCUCUCGCAACCUUUUGGUUUCACCUUAAACCAGAAGAGCACUCUUUGCCAAUUUUGCAUAAUUAAGCAGCAGGGAUGUUCUGACAAAAAAAAAGGCAGCAAGACGCAUCAGCCUUUUCAAAUUGUCCAGGAAACAAUGUGGCUAUAA